CUUUGGGUAAGUAUUGGGUAGCAGGUUUGAGAAAUCAGCUUGGUUCAAAGUAUCAUUAGUGUGGAAGGCCAGAAGAAAGGAAUAUGUUGAUGAGCCAUGGAGUAGCUUUGGGUGCGGUUGGUAAAAUGGUUCGGUGUAUCAAGGAUGUAUGAGAUUGGAAGAAGGGAAGUGGUGCACGGUUUGAAGCUUAAGUUAAGAAAGAAUUAAAUAAACCAAGGGAAAUCGUUAUUUGCAAAGGAAGUAGAAGAAGAAGAGUUUGAGAGGUAGUUGUAUGAGGCGUAGAGCAUAUUUAAGGGUGUGCAAUAAAAGGUGAAAUUCCUAAGAUAAAGAGAACAUGAAGUCUGUGAGGAAAAAAUUGAAGUGUUGUGGGCUAUGGGUAUUCAAAGUUCAUAGGAUUAAAGGUAGGAUUGGUAUUUUGAUGAUUCUGAAUUGAGGAAGGUGAUUUUGGGACAAGGUUGUAAACUACGUUGGCAAUGAAAAGUACAAGAGGAAUUCUAAGUGAAUAUGGUAUUUGGGGAGUCGCCGUAAGAGCUCAGGUUUGAGGUUUAUAAGAAGUAAUUUCUUGGCAAGAAAGAAAAGCAAGGAUGAUGCAUCAGGUAUUGUUUAGUGAAACAUGGUGGCAGGUGUAUUGGGAAUCCAAGAGGUUUGAUAAGCUUGAGUGAAAAAGAUAUGAUGUCGUCUUUCCGAAGUCUAAGGUGUGAUUACAAGAGAGGUUUGUUUGUCUUCAAAUUGUUUCGGGUGGUUAUGGCCUUCAAAAGAAGUACUGUGCUUUGAGAUGAAGAAGCCUGGUUAUGCAUUAGAAGUGGGUCAAGUAUGAAGGAGAAAACGAAGGGUUGUAGGAGUCAGAAUAUGUUAGCAAGGAUACGUGGAGAAGUGGUGGAUUGGUUAGAGCAAUAGUGUUUGGACACAGUGUAAUGGAAGAGAGAACUACAAGGUUGAAGAGUCUCAAAAGGAAAGUAGAAGGCAAGUUGAAAUAUUUUAGUUAAGUCUUGGCAAUAAGGAGUGAGUUCAAGCAUGUACACUUUUUGAGGAGUAGAAAUAAUGUUGAGGAAAUGGAAUGACAAGAUUAUCAUGGAAGAAAGGAGUUGCAAAGUCAUGGAAGGUUUGAAGAAGGCUCUUCAAGGGUGAUCAUCUUCGGGUUACAGUUGUCAUGAGGAAGUGAUCUUUAAGUCAACUAGUGGACAAGGGAGUUUGAGGAUUAGAGUAGCGCAGCAGAUGACGGUGAGCAUAUUGUUGUUAGUAAUAGGUAUGAGAUAGAGGAGAUAAGGGAGUCUAAGGUUUCAAGCUACAAGAUCAACUUUAAAGUGAGGAAGUAUUAAUGGAUCUGGAACGGGAAGAGUGGGUCAGUGGGUGAAGGAGAUGAUAUAAGUUAUGGCUUUGAGUUAUAGUGGCAAUCUGCAGGUAAGAAAAUGUCAACUGAUAGUUUGAACAAAGAAGAGGUUCAAAUUCUGGGUUUGAUAAGGAUUGAGUAAGAAUUGGUUGAAGAAUAUGAAAUUGGGGUCUCUAGUGAAGCUAUAAAGUGAUUUGAAUAGUAUGGUUGAAUUACUAUAACUAGUGAGUUUCUCUGAAUGAUUGAGAAAGUGCAGUUUGGACAAUCCUAGUUUGAGAUGUAUCAU
rnacentral:lncRNA from 1 species